rnacentral:rRNA from 1 species
GGUUAAGUUAUUAAGGGCGCACGGCGAAUGCUUGGCACUAGGAGCCGAAGAA